CAGCGUCAGCGAGGGCUCAAGGCAACGGACUGCAAAAGCCCAGCUCUGAAGAGGGCUGAGCUCCUCCAUGGGUGACUUUUCUCUGCUCACAGGAGAUCAGGGAGAAGUGACUGGCCAGAGCCAGCAAGGGGCCAAAGGCAGAAGAGGAUGGGGGGAGGGAACCAGCCUUUGUGAGCUUCCCACCUUCCACAGGCUCGGGGCCAGUGCCAUUUUCCUACAGAUGAGUGAAUUCCAGUUUUAGAAAAGGGACGACAGGCAAGGGGUGCUUUGCUUGUGACAAAAGACAAGCGAGAAAGGAAAUUAGAUUUACCACAUUUACUUAGCUCCUGCCUUGAGGCCAACCAUGCCCUGGGCACGGGAGAUGGGGAUGCAGGCCUUACCCUCUGGGAACUCAGAGCUGCUGACGCAGGAGACUGAGCACCACUGUGAUGCACCACAGAACUACAGCAGGCAAGAACUGAGGAGCUCUGCCCAGGGGGUGGUCUGCGGAAGGCUUCCACAGGUGAAAUUUGACCAGGGUUUUGAGAGAUGAGUAGGAGUUAGCGG
rnacentral:lncRNA from 1 species